UCGGCCUGCCUGAUGACUUCGGGGCACAGAUGCGUGUGGCCCAUGCUGCUUCUCUGAGGAGCUGCGUUCUUGGUAGAGCAAUGGAUGCGUUCCCUCUCGUGUGUUUCGAGGUGUGUUUCGGGGUGGCAGCCGAUCAAGCCGAGGAGCCGUAGCGGCAGUUCAGCAGAAUGUGCGCCGCUUUCAUUGCAGCUUUUGCAAUUACUCGACCAUUUACAAGCAGACGCUGCAGCGCCACCACCGCACGCACACGGGCGAGCGGCCGUUUGAGUGCGAGUUCUGCCUCAAGACGUUCGCCCAGAAGUGCAACAUGAAGGCCCACCAGCGGCUCCAUACGGGCGCCUGUCCCUACCGGUGCCAGUUCUGCCAGCUGGGAUUCAGCCGACGCGAGCUCCUCACCGAGCACCUGCAACAGGAGCACGAAAUGCAGCUGGCCUUCAAGUGCGGCUACUGCUCGGGCGGCUUCCUCACGCGACACGAGCUUUGGCGACAUCUGCGCUCCUGUUCCCCAUGGGGAGCGGCGACGCCGGAGGCCAUUGUGGCGUCGGUCGUGGCAUCCGUGCCUGUCACCACUGCGCACGUGUCGCCGCAGCCAGCCUCGUCGCCGACCACUACCUAAAGAAGUGCCUGUGAACGAUGCAUUCGUGAGCCCCUAUGCUAAGCACUUUUUCUCUGCUUAAAUUAGAUUAUAUUACGGAACAGUUGUUUUCAGGGCCGCUACUUUGACACUACACUAAUGAACCCGAAAGUGCAUAUGCUCGAUGAAAGAAAUUAGCUUAGGCAUACUUCUUGUCAGCAUUAGCUUCACAUUGCUUUGUGGUCAAGUGCAGUGAGGGCCCUUGGCAGCCACAUUUUUGGGGAGGCUUAACCACAUACUUGACAUUGUGUGAUAGUGGGCUUGUAGCAUUCCUUGAGAGCCUUUGGAACAUUUAAUACAAAGCAUAAUCUUUGAGGCUAUGAAAAUGCUAGAAUCUCAAGUGCUUCAUUUUUAUUUAUCUAUUUUAUUUUUUCCUCAGGUUAUCAGAGUUUGUUGUGAAAUCCAGCCUCAAAGUUCACACAAUCCACAAGUGAAGCCAAUGCUGUCAACAUUUUAGUGAAUCACAGUGUUUCUUUUGCGUUGAUUUCAAGCUGGUAAACUCAACAUUGCUUUGGUCCUCGAUGAUGCUUUGUCCCAACUUAGAAGCAGUUGAAAACUGUUAAAACUUGUUUCCUGAGAGACUUACCAUUUUUUUGUGAUAACAGCUGUGAAACCUGGCAAUAUGUUUAAAAAUGGCUAAGGUUUAGCUACUUGUUCCCGGUGAAUGAAACGGUGUAACAACAUACAUGUACGGCCUGUGCUGGAUGGAUUGUUGACACGGCUUCUUGUAGAGGGAUCAUAGUCUUUCGAAUAUCACUUAUCAGGAAGUACCAGAACAACUGGGUAUGCAUUCUCAUCAUUUAGGUGCUUUCUCUCUCUUGAUGCAUUUUUGACAGGGCACACAGGCUGAGCAUACAUCCUUACACUAACCUUCCUUUUCAUGGAUCAGGUUGUUGUGCAGUUUCCCAUCUCUGAUCAUUUUAAUUUUUUCCAUGUCGAUGUAUUGGUCAUAUCAUUCACUGCCCUUUAAUACAGUAACCAGCAUUAUUCCCUUAACUUAUUAAUAUGUCGCUUACAAUGGCUUUGUUCUUUCUCAAACUUUGCAGCAAUACCCCAUCAUUCAACACUCUAAAAAAAAAGAUUUCACCUUUUGGGGUGUAUCUUGGCCCCAAACAAUAAUCAUUAUGUAUCUUGCAUGCCCUUCCUUUGCAUAACACUGCGUGCCCGGUACUUCCAGAUUACGAAUGGCAUGUGCAUUAUCACUGUGACAUUCUUGACAGGAAGUAGCGAGCGCGGAAUUUUCAAGAAAGAAAAUGCAAGGAAAACGGAUCGCGAUUAUUGUUUAGGGGCAUGAUACACUCCAAAAGGUAAAAAAUUUUAUAGAGUGAUUUAAAUGUUGGCACUGUGACUUGCCUAGUUCGCCAAAAAAAGCUAAAUUAAAUCUGAGGUUUCCUUUGUCAGCAUCCGUUGGAUGUCCACAAUGAAACUCUUAGUGAUUAAUGGAAACCAAUUUCAAAAGCCAUGCUGCAGAUGCUGGACAUGUUCUCAUCACAGCAUCAUAGCCACCAUGUUCUGAACAUCAUUCAGUACAAGAGGCACGUAUGAAGGCACGUUUGCUUUUUUUUUUUUUUUUCAAACCCGGCAGGUAACAUGGCCAGUUGUUGUACAGUUGACUUCCCUUAAUUCAACCCUGACGUGACCGACGAAAUUGAUUAAGUGAUCUGGCGGGUCGAAUUAAACAAGACGCAGAAACAAACCCAUCAAAACACACUGCUCAUUCAUUCGGCAGUAUUUGCCAGAUUCUAACACGCCCCAAAAUCUGACUUCAGUUAAUAGAAUUAACUGAAGUCAGCUGUAUUGAAAGAUAUGAACCACAGAAUAUGACGUUUAUGCGAAAUUUUAGCAAGAACAAAGCAGUGGUAAGUGCCCGAUAUUUUUCAAAGUUAAGGAAACAAUGCAAGUUUCUCUGUAUACUCUAUGUGUCUAAAGUAAAAAAACUAACCUAACACACCCGAUGUUUUAGCAAGAAAAAUUGGCAAGGGUAUAGUAUGUGCUGCACGGUGGCGCCCUGUUUUCUGAAAUCAACUUCGCCGCAUUCAUUCGUGUUAGCCGGUAAAGCAUACAAACACCGUGAAGGCAGUCUUGGUUUCGUAGCAGGCUAUUUUUGGCCCAAUUUUAUUGGAAAAAAGAGGCGAGUGUUAGCAUCUGGUAAAUACCAUAAUGAGACUUUGUGAGCUGCAUUUAUUGCAUUAAAAUCUUCCUAGGGCAGGCCGGAAAUAGGCAUUUUUGACAGGAAAUGAUGUGGGUUCCAUACAUUCACUGUCCCAUAAGCUCCUCCGAGACAGACGCUACCACUGAUGGGGGUGGCUAUUGGGGUCACCGUAGGGGUCAGGUGCAUGCUUGCUGACUCAUCAAGUUCAAAUCAUCCAACGAAAGUAAAUUUUAGGAUCGAAACAACAAAAAUUUGGGCUCAUAGAAACGCGUGGAUGUGCAUGUGACCUUUGUUGAGGAUUGAAUUAAACGAAAAAUAGAAUUAACUGAAGUCAGCUGUAUUGAAAGAUAUGAACCAUAGAAUAUGACGUUUAUGCGAAAUUUUAGCAAGAACAAAGCAGUGGUAAGUGCCCGAUAUUUUUCAAAGUUAAGGAAACAAUGCAAGUUUCUCUGUAUUUCUGGCUGGCUUAUUAGCCUUUGGAUUUGUGUGGCUGAUUUAUUAGAUUGCACUUUUGGGCAUUGUACAGUAUGCAGGCCUCUCGACCAGAAAAAGUCGAGGCUAAUGGAAAAGCUGUUCAUCAGAAGCGUAUUAUUGUAUCCGUCCUUCCACAGUUAAUUUAAUUUCACUCGCUUGAAUGUCUUACUGCUGCCACUUCAUUUGUGCAUUUUUUAUGGGCCAGCUUUCUCUAUUUUUCCAGAACUUGGUAGAUGCACUAAAAAUAAACCAGGAAGCUGUGAAGUGAUGCAUCGUGUUUCUGUUGGCUGUCUACUUAAUGAGAAUUGCUAUUCAUGCAAAUAACCCGUUGGGUGCUGGGUAUCUUUCCUAAGUUAAAGAAUAAACACAUCAGCAGGAUUUAAAUUGCGAUGCUAUUUAUUGGCGAUAUGUUGCUGGACACUCCCCAAAUUUUGAAAUCUAAAAAUUUAAAGAAAGGGUAUGGGGGUUCUGCUAAUUAUUUUAAUUAGGAUAAUUAGUGUUCCUCAGGCAACAUGGCCUCUACGCAUCGCUGUCACUUCAUAAUCAACAUCAGACACUUCAUAAUCAACAUCAAGGUCCUCUGAAUCAGAGUUCAUAAGUUCUUGGAUUUCUGCAUCUUUCAAAGUUCUUGAAUCAUUGAAAAAAUGCUCAGGCUUCUUGCGCCAGUCCACCGUGUCAGUAAACGAGAUGUAAGCAGACACCGACAGGGUAUUGGUAAGCUUUGUCGUGCCCUCUGUCGUAGAAAAACAACCUAACAUAAAAUAUUUGUUUAAAACAACUUCUGAGAAGAUGGCACAACUAGUUCACAGAUAUUCCACCUUCACGAAUUAACCCAGGCAUAGCCAGGGUCAUGCAAUAACACUCCUAUAGUUAGAUUUAGGUGCACGUUAAGAACCCCAGGUGUUAAGAAAUAAUCCAAAGUCCCCACUACGGCAUGCCUCAUAACAAAUUGUGGUUUUGGCACGCAAAAACCUAUAAUUUAAUUUUAUUUUCACGACUCUAUAGAUUGCUAAUGACAACUCGGCUGGUGACAUAAUAACUUCAUCAUUGCAGGUAUGCUUGUGUCUUUAUGAGACAGGCACUGCUGUUUCCCAACUGAGAGCAUGGCACUGUAGCCCAGGCGAAAAUAUUCAACUGGAAUCCACCUGCUUACAAUUGGCAUUGACUGGGACCAACUGGUUCCAAUUGAAAACCAACUGGUCCCAGUUACAGGACAACUAAUAAAUGUGUGCAUUUACACAACCUGGUGCUUGCACUAAAAUGAUAGCUACGGAGACACCUUUGCCACGGUGGGUAUCAAGCUUGUUCAAGUGCAGCAGUGACGAGAUUGAAUUUGACUUGAUUUAUGAGUAUAUAGAACGCAGCAAGUAAUACACACCAGUGGCUGUACUCAUAGCCUUAUCGGCUAGUCCGGGGUCCACUAAAGCAUGAGCAUAUACAUGACAGACCUUUGCAGAUCACUAAAUCGAUUCCGUGCAAAUUUGAGACAGAAUAGUGUGUGAAAAUGCAAAAUGCACAUUACUCAAUUUCACUGAGCAAACUAAGGAACGUUUUAAGAAAGACAAAUGUACAACAGUGUACGGUAUGUUUUAUAUAUACAUCAUGCAUCACAAAUGCACAACAAAGAUAUGUUCCAGGACAAAACAUUUCUGGUGACUCAAGCUUAAACUUUUUUAAUGCUAAACAACGUUUCUCCUGAAAAUUCAAAUUUUUGGAUAUUUCAUUCCAGGCAUUGAAAUGUUCUGCAAGGGUUGGCCAUCAUUCACGAUGACCCGAAGUGAACUACCAAACCAACGAGGACAAAAAGUGAUGCUCUUUCUGUCUUAGUUUCUCAAGCUCUACUUGUAGGAAGCCAAAAUGUACCAACUCGCCCAAACCGACACACUUGUGCAGUACUAUCAUGGCCUGAAAACAGGCACAUGAAGAUGGUAUGCACUUGUGCCGUGGAAUUUCGCACUUACUUUUCUGAGCUUUCUUUCGUUAGAUGUAAUGUGAGAAUUUGCUUAGCUUUAAAGGCCUCAAAUUAAAGAAGUACCGAGGUGACACAUUCAGAAUGUUUCUUUUUUUGUGUGUUGAGAGAAAUGUCAAGCCCUGUGAAUAGUUUAUUGUAAUGCAGUACUUGUUUUAUAAGCCACUUUUCUCUUUGGUACCCAAGAGCCUAUUGUCUCAUGACGUCAUCAUACAGUGGCUUCCUCCUUUCCUGCAACCACCGCAACUACUACGUGUGAGCGCAGCCAGAAGAAAUCCAUGCAGCACUCUUGUUAAUUUUUUCACGAGCGACAUCGUCAUCAUUGUAUCUUGCAUGCCUUUCCUUUCUAUAGCACUGCGCACCCAUCACCAUCAGCCUAUUUUUAUGUGCACUGCAGGAUGAAGGCCUUGUCUUGCGCUAGCUAAUUCCAAUUUCCAUGCAAAUUUCCUAACUUCAUCACCCCACCUAGUUUUCGGCUGUCCUCGACUGCGCUUCCCUUCCCUUGGCAUCCAUGCUGUAACUUUAAUGGUCCACCGGUUAUCCAUCCUACGCAUUACAUGGCCUGCCCAGCUCCAUUUUUUUUCUCCUAAUGUCAGCCAUAAUAUCGGCUAUCCCCGUUUGCUAUAUGAUCCACAUUGCUCUCUUCCCGUCUCUUAACCUUAGGCCUAACAUCUUUCGUUCCAUCGCUCUUUGUGCAGUCCUUAACUUGUUCUCGAGCUUCUUUGUUAACCUCCAAGUUUCUGCCCUAUAGGAUUGUACACUUGCAAUGAUUGUACACUUUUCUUUUCAAUUUUGAUUCUUCUGUAAAUUUCCUUCGAAUGAUUAGGGUCAUCAUCAUCAACAUCAUCAUACCUAGCCUUGAUGGAACACGGCAUCAAAAUUUUACUCCCGCUAACAUUAACACUAAUGCUUAUGGCACCAGAUCAGGCAUUUAGAGGCCACAUUUAACAUCAAGUUAAGAUAUCUUGUAACCAUUGCUGACCUUCAUACUUUGUGAGUAUCAUCUGUUUACAGGCAAGUAGCAUGUGAUAGAGUUUCUAAAACUUUUAAAAUAAAGGUUAGUACUCUCUGUUAAUGGAGCUCGACUUAUAUGUUCUAUGGUGUCGUGCUGAAGCGCCAAUAUUUUUGUUUUAGCUAUGCGCUGCUCACACCGCCUAGUGCAAAGUCCUGGUACUUUUGAUUGGUCUCUGUAUUCGCAUUCAUAGCUUUAUGGCAUGCUUUGAAGGUGGUUUUAUACAGUGCAGUAGAUGGUGUGACUAGAUUAGGUAAUUCAGAUAUAGGAUAGCACGUAAAGUGGAAAAUAAGAGGUCGCUAUUAAAGAAUUAAGUUUGUGAUGUGACACAUGAAAGAUAAAGAGUACAGUGACCGACACACAAACAGCAUUUCCGUUAAGGUUAUCAACAGGGAUGUCAUAAGAGAGCUUCAGUGGGAAUGGGUUUUCAGCAAACGUGGCUUAUGCAUCUGGAAUUACCAAAUCAAAACUGUGAGAUUUGUGAUUCAUAACAAUAAAAUAAAAUUAGCAAGUGGCAACAAAAUCUGCAGUUUUCAGGCUCUGUGACGAACUCGGUCGCAGCAGGAUGCAUCGCUCGAACGGGCAAUCUCGGGGACCAUUACACUUGCCAUCUCUUUGUUUGACAAUAUUGCCUUCAGAUUGCUAAGCUGCAAAUCUUAGUCAUAAUUCCAAACUGCUGUGGACAGGAACACAGGCUGCUGUUUUCUUAGCAGCUGUAAUUGUGAAUCCAUAGCUGAAAGAAGUACACUGCAGACAGGCAGCAUUUGCACAUCAUUCCAGGCUGUGAUAGACUAGAAUGAUUUCUCGUUCAAAAUGAGUGUUUCUGCUUUGCUGUUAACUGACCGUAUUUUUCUCUGCCAGCUGCACUUCUCAUUGCAAGCUGAAACAGGCAUGUAUAUAAUGACAACAAAAAACAGUACGAUGCCUUCCUCCUCUUGAUUUUCUGUUGCUUUUGUUCAAAUGUGAAGAACAGUCGCGAUGCUUACUCUGAUUUGAACAGCGCCAAACAGGUCAAAGACAAAAAGAAUUUAGUUAACCCUCUGCCCUCAUCCCGUUUUGAGCUGUUCAGAUCGGAAUCAUGUGAGAACAUGUUUAACCAGCAAACCCAAAAUCUGAUGCUGCCAAUAAUUUUUAAUUAUUUCGAAUACAUGAAAUAAGACAUGAGGUAGAUAUACGUUAUUGUAGCGUAAUACUUCUUUAAAUUUUAUGUGCAUUAGAUAUAAUCAAAAGGGGAUAAAUACUACGUCAAAAGUAGUUACAUUGUGGAACAUUGCAUUGUGGUGUAAUGCAGCACUCGAAGAAAAGAGGGGUGGGGGGAGAGUGCUGGAAAACUGCUUCUCUCUAUUUAACACUAUUUAUCUCCUUGGCCUUGAGGUAACUUGCAUCAUUGCCUUUACACUGCCUCUUUGACAAACCUCAUUAGCUCUUUGCUCUAAUUUUCGUCUUCAUAUUUGGCAAUGUAGCACUCGUUACUAAAAAAAACUGACACUCUAUGUUCGACUUUUUUUUAACCUGAACACGUUUGGAAACUAUGCAAAACAUUCCUGCAUUGUAAGGAUGUUUAAAUACUCACUCAUAAAUACAUUGUAUUAUUUAUUUUUUUCAGACUAAACAUUUUAACUUCUUCAUUGCAGAGUUUUGAAAACUUUGUGGCAGAUUGUGAAUACCAUUUAUGAAUGAAAAACAUGCUCGACUGUUAACGAGCUGUAUCACUGCGCUGUCAUUGGCCUUUAACUUUUUACCCAUUUACCACUGCACUGAACCUACUGCUGGCAUCUUUUUCUUUGUUGUCACUGGUUUUAGUGUUGUGUCAGUUGUUUAAUAGCAAAUGUGAAGGUUGCCCCCAACAAACGCAUUUUUAAUGCACUUGUAUCAUUCCUUAUACGCAAAAUUAUGUGCUCCCAUGUUUCAGAUUACACACCCCAUCAUGUUAAUUUGGAGUGUCAUGUUAUCCUGUCACACAUAUUUUUGUGUACUUUUUUAUUGGCUUUCUGUUUACUCCAUGUCUUACUGUUUGUUUGCUUAGCUGUUUUUGGUGUUUGUUUGCUUAGCAGUAUUUGGUGUUUAUCAUUGCUGAUGCUAAUACUUUAACGUAUAUAUGUUGUUGUUUUACCAUGGUAUUUCUAUGGUAUUGCACACGAUGGCGUUAGCCACUAUUUAAUUUUGUUCCUUGCAUUUAUAUUAUGUUAUAUAUUAUCUCUAUAAGUAUCCCAAAUAAGUAAUGAGUGUUAACAAUGUGUUUGUGUUGUAGUGUUAGUGCAUGUUAUUACGGGGCCCUUAAAGCUGAUUUGGUUGUUCUGACCUCCUUUGUGAACUGGGACAUCGAAUACGCACUAACUAUGUCACAGUGUAUGGUGUUUUGAAUUUAGUUGCCAUGUUAGUGAUGUGUCUAAUUGUGUGCACGACAAAAUGAUUUCAUAUGAUACCCGUAGGAACACUAUAGAGAGAUGAACAUUGAAGAGUGCAUAUUUUUUGUCACUUUGCUGCGUUUAUCAAGAUGCACCUUUUUUUAAAAGUGGGGCAGACUGCUACUACAAGGACGUAGAAGAAUAACAUCAAUGAACAAGCGAAUAAACAAAAUGUUCAUGUAACUCAGUGACAACCAAAAUUACGAAAGAUAAAACUCACAAUACAGAACACAUUGCAAGCUUCAUGUUCAUCUAGGCCUAUUUAUUACCCAUAUCAGUGUGAGAACCAAUACUUCACUCCUAGUGUUUGUGGAUUUGCAAUGCCUACUGUGAUGCCAUGAAGUUGGCACCAAGUUUAUGCACUUGGUUGCUGCAAGUGCUUCAGCAAAAAGUGGUAAUUGGCAUCUGCAGAGUUUUUGCACAUGCUGCCACUUGCAGCGUGCCCAACUUGAUGUUUUUGUCAAUGGCUGUCACACAAGCUGCAGAUUCAGCUGCUGCUAAGAUGUAGCACAGAGUUGCUGCCAUUCGCAGUGCUACGAUUAAUAUACUGUGCUUAGCCGACUACGAUUCUGGUGCUUUCAGCAUUUAACUUUGUUUAAAUCGCAACGAGUAAUUUAUUCAGGCACUUUUCAUUUUACAAGACGUACAAGGCUUGAUAACUGAAGUUCUGUACUGCACACUUCCACUAUUGUGUUAAAGUCAGUAUGCAUUCUGCAAGUGCUGUCUUAUCAGUGAUUUCCUGGGUUUUGUUUUGAGGUCUAAAAAUCUCUCUCAAUCUCUCCUUGACGUCAUAUUAUGCCACUACUUCUCGUAAUUUCGUGGCAUGACUGUGUCGGUAAAGUAAUGGGCUUUUGUAAUUACACUGAAAUUGUAAGCUUUGCUUGUUAAACCUAAGACUGGAGAAUAGUGAACAUCUUUGAAAACAGACAUUAGCUUGCCUUUCGUAGUUCUUGCAUGUUCAUGUAUCACUUAGUUGUGUGUUAAACAUGUGUGUUAGGAGUCUUCAUAAAUAGUUUGUGCUUACACACUGAGUGAUGCAAACCUUGGGAACUGCAUCGAGUAAAGGUGCCUUAGAGCACCUCAGAUGUGCUUUCAUGUACUCAUUUUUUUGUGUGUUCUUUUUGCUAUGUAUUUAGGUGCACUAGCUAUAUAUGACAACUGUGUUAGACAACAAGUGGUUAUGGUGAUCUGGUAAAUUAUUUAACAUGUUGCUGCGCGUUGUGAUGAAUAUUUCUUAUGGUUAGAAACUGUGGAAGAACUGCAAAUAACAUCUUGUAACACUGCUCUAUUUAUAACAUGCCUAGUGAUGUAAUACAGCAUUUUGAUACCUCGCACACUUCCAUGACUGUGUCUGAUUUCAUAUGGUGGGGAAGGCGAAUUUCCCCAUUGUGUGAUACUUCACCCCCUAUCUUUUACCACCACAUAAGUUUAAUGGUAACUGUUAAAGAAGAUUUAUGAUGGCAAAUGUAUCAAGUUGCUGAAAAGUUGCACUGUAAUGUUUUGAACUAAAAAAUGCAGUACAUAGUAUGGAAUACGUACUUUAUUGUACUUUUACUGAUAAUUUUUUUAUAAAGAAUUGGUAGUUUACGUGUCAUUAGUGGGACGUCUUCAUUUGUUAAUUGCAUUGUGCUAUUCAUUAUGCACUUUUUGAUCUACCACAGCUGAUUAGAAAAAAAAUGUGCCUGUUAGGAAAUCGAAAAUAAGUUGAAAGGUAUAUGAGUCACUAGGCAAUAUCUGUGCUGUGGUGAAUUGGCGCGUGGGCGUAUCAGUCCCUAAAUCACACCCAAUUGAAAAUGAAGUUUCAACUGAAGCUUAAUUUAAAACUCGCAGCUUUAGGGCACUGCCACUGCAAGAAUAUUUUGAAAGUGAUUAUGCUUAAUGUGGUCUUUCUAGAGACAAUGAACUUUAAUCAUAAGGAUGGCUAUAACCAUUUAAAUUGCAAAGUAUGUCAUAGGCGAAAAGGUACUGGCAUUUCAAACUAUGUUUCAUGUUGUAAGCUCUUCUGUAAGCAGCUGGCCUUGUACUGUCAUGUGCCUGGCCUCACCUAAAACCUGAGAUGUGAGCCUGACAGAUUUCCGGCAUUAUGGCAGUGCAGGCAUCAUUGCCAUUCGCACAAUGUCUUGAAACUGCUGUGAGAGGGGUUGAACUGCAGACCUGAGUACAUUGUCACGCUAUUGAGCAGCAAGGAAGAAGUUGACGCUGCCUCAUUAGAGAGAGCAUAUAAUCUUGCUUGGAAGUGUGUAUAGCUGUAGUACUAUUUGACCUAGCUUCUCAUAACUGCUCCUUUAUGCAGUUGGCCACAUCAUCAAAACUGUUUCAGGAAUUAAUCCCGUAAAAGAAAUAAUGUUUUAGUGGCAUUGUGGGAAAUGUGCAUGAUGGGGCUUAGAGAAGAGUAUACUUCAAAUAUAAAUAAAUACCUGUGGCAAGCAAGAGCACACAACACUGUGCAAUGGCAUGUGUUUACACCGUGCCCGUAAUACUUACACAAAUGAUUGAAUUGUGCCAUGGAUAUAAGUGCAACAGUUGAGCAUAGGUUUGUUCACAAGCUAAAAAAUAUUUGCCUAAAAGCAUGGCAUUGUGUUCAGUAGUGUGCGUCUGCGCUGUUCUACACAGCGUAACUUAAAAAAGCGCAGCCAUUAAGUGUCUUUCUCGACCUACAAUGCUGCAGCUUACUGUUUGGCGCGCUGGAGCCAUAGUGUGUCCUGCAUGCGCAGGCUCUCCUACCCUGUCGGCAUUGGACGUUCCAGAGAUGGGAGCAGCAGCAGCACGCCGUCAGUUCCGGUGCAGCCAGUGCUCCUUCUCGACGGUGUACAAGUGCAGCCUCAUUGUGCAUCAGCGCACCCACACGGGCGAGCGGCCUUUCCAGUGCCGCUUGUGCACGCGCACGUUUGCUCACAAGUGCAACCUCAAGAGCCACUUGCGGACACACACGGGCGAGCGGCCCUAUCGGUGUCCCCUGUGCCCGCACAGCUUCACCCAGCGAGGUGCGCUCACGGCACACUUGCACGCGCAACACGGCGCCACCACCCUGCCGUUGGUGGCACCGCAGCGGCCAUCGGUGCAGCGUUGCAUGCUCUGUCCCAGACUGUUCAGCCUGCCCGAAGAGCUGAGGGCACACAUACGUGUGGCACACCCCGCUCCCUGAGCCAGGCUCUGUUCUCGGUAGACUGGCGUUCACUCUCACCUGUUCUGAGGCAGUUCCUUGGGGUGCAUUUAACACCGGUGACCGACAGAGGUCACGUGACCAAGUUGUUCGUGAAGCAAUGGCUGCAAAUGGUUGCAUUGGUGGAAAUUUGACCGAUUAUGUAAAGUUUUGCUCACUGACUGAUUCUUCAGCUCCGCGACUGGAGUCACAAAGCUGUUGAACCAAUUGGCAGCACAGGAGCAGGAUGUCAGAAUACGCAGAUGGUUAUUUUACAUGGCCAGGGUUGUGCGAGCAGACAUGAGUGCCAACAAUCAUAGCAGUCAUGAGACAUUGCGAUGUGGUGAGGGGCAGGUCACAAUCACUGGUGUGAACGUCGGUCGCCGUGAGUAGUUCCUCGGUCGCCAGUCGUGGACCUUUGUCGGUUGCCAGUGUGAAUGCGUGCGCCCUUAGUGUUCACUAUCACAACAAACUUUCCGUCAGUGCGUUUUGUACAGACCUUUCCAUUAUUUACAGUGUGACGUCAGAACACAUUUCAUGGACAUGCAGGCAGGCACAGGUAGUUCCUGUAUACUUGUGAAGCAGAGAUUAUGGCUGCUCCCAGGCAUAAGGCAGCCCUCAUUGUAUAAGUUUACAGUAACAAUUUGUCAGGACAAGUUGCCUGACAAUAGUUGCCACCAAAAACAGAUGAUAGGGAAGCAGAUAUGAAAAGUUAGUAUAGUUGACUGUUCUUCUGCCCAUUUUGCGGUUCUCAGAGAAAGGAAAACCGAUUUUUAAUGUGGUGAUUGAGGUUAAUGUGCCCCUGCGAUAUAGCUUAUAAAAUGCCCAGUAAUGCAAUAAAAAAAGUACAUCGUGCAGUCGUCAAACAUUUUUGCACCCUCUGGGGUGUGCUUUCUUCCAACAACUUAUGCCACUGCAGCAUGCAACUUGCAGGGAAUGUGCUUUAUAAAUGUUCAGCGCAUGUUCUAUUGCAAUUGCACGCGAAUGUAGGCAUGCAAGGUGAAGAUAGUGCAACUGUUGGCAUGCAAACAAUUAAGUGCUCACAGAAACAAUAGAUCACAUUCUGUGUGACAAUAGUACACUUACAAAAGGCGUAAAAUCUUGCUCAGUGAUGUGUCAGGGCCAUUAUGUGUUUGCUUAACGGCCUUGAUGCUUACGUGAAAACAAGCCAGCCUUUAGCCAUCAGGCCAUGUAACUACAACAGCUGCUUUCAUCAACAGAGCUACGCACAUUGCUUUGGGCCUAUUGGCGCACUAUCAUAGCAGACAUGGACAAAAGAAACGGAAUGCACAUUGUGGUGUGUCUGCCAUUCGAUUCUUGUUCACUCCUAAUGCCUAUUUCAUAUGCAGUGGUCAUGCUGACUGUAAUUAUUGUAUUUGCAAGAACCUAGCAGAAUCUAUUAUUGGCAACGUCAACUUAUUCAGCGAGGCUCGCAGCUUUGCUUGAGGCUCGUAUGUCUCACAGCACAAAAGGAGGUGCUGCAUUCUGGCCUCUUUCGCAACAUGAGGUUUAUCCUGUCCGCCUCAGUGAAAACAGAGUAAAACCAAGCAUAGAAGUUGCUUUCAUAAAAAAUCAUUAUGUCUGUUCUAUUAAUGUGAAAACAAGCUGGCCACUGUGAUGUAUGCAACCAGCCGCAUCAUCAUUGAUACCCCUUUCAACCCUCACAAACAGAAUCGCAGGGUGGUUCAGCACUUCUAAAUACUGAAACAUCAUGUGCACAACAAGCCCAAAGGCAGAUUUUCCGGACCUGCUAGAUCGCAAGUGUGAAAUUGCGUUACGUGAAACACGUUUGUGCAACAUAAAUUUUUUCCGCAGUAUGCAUUUCCUGGACGAUUCUCUUUCCCGGAGUAGAAUAGCUCGCUAGAGGAAUGUACAUCUUUUUGCAUUUUACCAUGGCCCUCCACAUGUCACCGUCACAAUAAAAUGUAUUGGGAUAAAUAUACGGUAAUGUACAUGAGGACGGCUGUGGUUCAACUGGAAGGAUGUUGUUUUGCACGAGCACCUUUUGUGAGAGGUAGUUAGAGGUAAACAGAUAUAGGUUAGGCGGUUGCCAAGCAGUACUCUAUUGUACAUUUCGUUUCGCGCUUUUGCUGAAAAUAGCUUCAUAAGAUGUCGCACUUGUCGGUGCUGCUCUUGGGUGCCCCUGGUUAGUACUAUGUUAGCGGCAAUAAGUUUUUACCAGGAUGAUGCUGUAUAAUAAUGUCAAACAGGCCUGAAUUACAGCCAACAGUUUCAGCUGCAUCAAUAUUGACGCCCUGACUGACAGGCUGGCCUUCAUGUUUCUGGUUGCAUGUACCAAUUGUUUAGGUGGUAAAGCAGUUAACGAAACAUUUGUUUUCUUUCUCCACAAUCGUGCCCUGGAGCUACAAUAUCUUGUGUAUACGUUUGUUUGCCUGUGAUGUAGAACAAUCAGAACUCGGUGUUUUGACAGCCAUGUCACUUGCCAUCUUGACCCUUAUACUUUUUGCUGAUGACUAUGCCUACCUGCAGUGCAUAUUGCAUGCUGAUCACAUAAGUGCAAUGUGUUUAAAAUGCUUCUGCCGGACAUUGCGUUUAUGCAACUCAUAAAGUGAAGGCAGCAGUCACAGGACACAACGUGGGGACAGACACUGUAUAAAUGAGAAUGGAACAAACCAGGGUUUUUCAUGUUGGGGAGCUAGUUUAACAACUAGCUAAUUUUGUAUAGUAUGUCAGUCACAUCAGACGGAAUUAAGAGAAUGACGUCAUUUUUCAUUGAUAUUUCGCUCCACUGUAGAGAGUCAACUCACUUCAUUUGUUUUUGGUUCAACUUAAGAAAGUUUUAGCUUAGGGGAUGCAAGUCGUUUGCAAGUCCCACCAAACCGAAGUGGUCUUCUUCGGUUUGGUGGGAUCCAAGUGGCUUGUGUAUGCCUUCACAAUGCAAGUCUGCUGCGUGCCCUAAUCUAAAACUCUCUGUUUGCAUCUGUGGGUAGCCACCGGUGCAGUUCAUUUGUAGCUUUCAACAGCCGGCUGCCUUGACGUAAUUGUGUCCAGUGUGCUUAGCCGAGAGCACUGCACGGGCUCGGACUUACCCAAAAGCCCAAGCCAGGCUGGGUAGGGCAGUUUUUUCACGGGCUCGGGCUUGGCUCAGGCACGACAUGUGCUUUUUGACUCAGGGCCGGGCCGGGCUCGGGUUUUUUGACACAGGUCCGGGCCGGGCGUGAACUUUCUGGUGGUGUGCAUGUAACGUGUAGCGAGUUAUCCUCGCACGUCUCGACUCUGAAAAACAUGUCUUUUUCGGUAUCGGGCCGGGUUCGGGCCGGUUUCGAGCCGGGCUCGGGCCUAAAGGGUGGCGGGCCGGGUUGGGCGGGUAACAGAUUAUUUCUGGGCCCGGGCCGGGCCCGGGUCUCGCCAUAAAGCUUUUGGUCAGGCUCGGGCAGGCAGCCCAACGUAAAAACGGGCCAGUGCAGUGCGCUAGCUUAGCCUGCAUUUCUCCCCACGCCGAGAGUCAAUGCCCCAAGUGAACUUGCUGCCUGUAACACCAUAGUGAACUAUGCAUAUGCACGCGCUGGCUUAGUUGGUCAAAGUAUUCUCUCAGGUUCCUGCAGAAUGUUGGUACUAUUGACAGUUUGCUGAAAAGCACCCGGUACAACUGUGGGAAUCUUCAUCCACGGUAACCGUGGCUACUUGUCCUAGGGUGUACCACGGAUGUGUUGGCACAUUAACACGCUCGAGUUGCUAUACUUCUUAUGGAAAACCUCCACGAGUGGUGCUAGACAUUGAACUCAAAUUUUUAUGCUUCCCAUGGCAUAAACAGUUGUCAAUCUUGGCUUCAAAACAUAAGCUGGAUGUUGACUAAGUUGGCAUGUUUAUGACAUAUGGCUGACAUUGUAAUAUAGAGGGCACUCAUACCAUGUGAAUAUGAAGCUUGUGUACAGCGAAGAGUGGGUGAAUAAAGAUUUAUUCAAGCUGAA